AAGAGUGUGUAAAAGAAUUUGAAGAUGCUCUUGAGACCAACAAAGGUGGGGAGAUUGACGUCUUCCCUAUAAUGUCACGAUGCACUCUCGAUAUUAUAUGUGCUACAUUUAUGGGAAGAAAAACAUUGAAAAACGAAGAAAAGUCACUUUUUCUUGACAACCUUGCCGAAUUUGAAAGAAUUUUCCAACAACGCAU